rnacentral:lncRNA from 11 species
GCACCCUGUUAACCUGGAAAAAGCAAAACUCAUCUUCAUCAUACCUGAAAAAUGGAGACCCCCACUGAAAGCAAACCUCUUGAUGAAUUGGUGCCAACUGAACACCCAAACUCCCAAACCUCAAAUGAACAUGUUGAAGAGGUCAAACCCCACGGGCUUAAUGGGAAAGUUGAAGAAAGCCUCAUGGCUCAAGGGCCAAAUGGAGAUGCUGGAGAGGACAAAUCCCUCAGUCCAAAUGGAGAGACCGAAUCCAUCAGAUCCCGAAGCUCAAGUAUACGCAUCGAAGUAAGUAAACCAGAAGAAGAACAUGAGCAGGU